rnacentral:rRNA from 1 species
UACAGAGGUCUCAAGCGUUGUUCGGAUUCAUUGGGCGUAAAGGGUGCGUAGGCGGCGCGGUAAGUCGGGUGUGAAAUUUCGAGGCUUAACUUCGAAACUGCAUUCGAUACUGCCGUGCUUGAGGACUGGAGAGGAGACUGGAAUUUACGGUGUAGCGGUGAAAUGCGUAGAUAUCGUAAGGAAGACCAGUGGCGAAGGCGGGUCUCUGGACAGUUCCUGACGCUGAUGUGCGAAAGCGUGGGGAGCAAACAGG